UGCAGGGGACAUAGGACUUCAUGAAAAAUUCAUGACAGUUUCUAUUAAAAAAUUAUGAAAUGUGUAAAUUACAGAGGAUCUUUAAAAAUCAAAUCCUGUUUUUAACACACAACCUCUUGUAAUUCUCCUUGCUUCAUCACUGCAGUUUGGUGGAAGCACCUCCUGUGUCGGAGAAGCUGCCUUUGGACACCUACACUCUAGGUUGAUAACCACUGAAUUACAAUGAGUCAUGUAAGACUGUGAUCACUUAGUCAUAAGUUCAAUAACCCACUUACAUAACCCUAUAAUGUUAAUUCAAAUAUACUCAGCUUGGAUUUCUCCAUAGCCACCACCCUCAAACUGA
rnacentral:lncRNA from 1 species